GAAAAACCAGCAACGGUCGUACAUUGCAGGAAUGUAGCAUUUGGAUGGAGUAAGGCAAGAUUUUAAGACACCAACAGUCCCCCAUGUGGGAAUUUCUCAACAUAGCACAGAGAGGAGUGAGAGAGAGAUUGAAACACACAAUAAAAAUCGGAACUACAUUGAUAAAACUUUUCUUCUGCAUUUUUCAAUUAACAAAAACGUCUUUAAAUAGACUUUACAUCUAACAUAAACACUGACCCAAUCACUAAUCCACUAACCAUAAAUUCCUAAUUAUAGCUAUUACUCUCCACUUCACACGGGGUCCGUAUCUUCUGUGCCAAAGGCUGUGAGCCAUCUGUGAGCCAUCUGUGCCAAGCCAAUAAGGCGUUGACACCUGUCCUUAUUAAUCUGUAACAACAAAUCCGUUGUACUUUCCUUGUUCAACUCUUCUCCGUUAGGAAACAAGAUCAAAUUUGGGAGAAAGAAGAUAAAUAAAUUUAUAUCUAAUCACCCUGAUAUAUAGAAAAUCUAGAAAAUAUUUGAGGAUACAUAUAUACUACAUGUCUAAUUUUAUCUAAUAUGGACUUCGUUCAUACUAAUUCUUAGCAAAUAUUAAAAAAAAACAUAACUAUGAGAAAACAUAAACAACACUUACAAUAUUAAAAUUCUAAUCACCAACUCUUUGAGCUUCAUGGAGCCUGAUCGGAGAACUCAUGCCCUGAAAAUAAAUUUAGAGACAAAUCGAAGAUUGGACUUUGGAAACUGCAAUAGGCGAUCAAAUUGUAGUAAAGAAAUAAAAUAAGAUAUCGUAAAAACAAAAAAGAGAAAAAAAAAAAAAUUUGAUAUCAAAAACGAUACCUCUCUCCUCUCUCCAAAAAAAUUCUCUCCUCCUUUCUGGUAAUGGAGUAAUUUUCUUAGGAUAAGUUUGGGGACUCUUUAGGAUCAUGAGCUAGGGGAGAUGGUAUUGGGGAUCAAAUAACUUAGAUGUUUGGGUAAUAAUAUGAAUCAAAUCAUGGUUUUUUAACCUUUUUUUUUUUUUUAAGAUUUUGCUUUCUUUUUGGAGUUUUCUUUCUGUUCCUCGAUCUAUCUUCCUUCUUCUCUUUGGAUCUGUAGAACCAGGAAAUUGAAGACUCCUGUGAAACAACAUGAUGCUGAAAUCAAUAUUGGCUAUGUUCUAUAUGGUUGUAUAUUUUCGAAAGUGCAACUUUCACCAUUUAAAUCUUCGAUUGCGGAAAAGACUAAACCAUCGCCCUCAAUCAUAAAGAAGAGAACUCUUUCCUGUAUAAGAUGUCGUGACACUUUUAUCAGACUUGCUCGUGGUAGAAGGGCUCAGGAAUCCAUAUUGAUAGUUUUAUCGUAGCUAAGAUCCCAUUCUUCAAAACUUGAUUGUGGAUCAACACGUGCUGCCAGUAUUAGAAGACUACUCAUUGGGUACCGAUGGAGAACAAAUGCUUCCUAGUUUAAUGAAGAAUUAUAAAUGUUCGUGUUAUCUUUGCAACUUUAGUUUUAGGAUCUUCUUUAGGACCUACCGCGUUGUGCUCUUUUCCUUGGUCAAGGUUUUAUCCCUUUGGUUACGGGUUUUCCUUGUCAAAAUUUUUAACGAGGCAACAAAUGCGUGUCCAACACCUUGCGGCGGUUUUAUCUUUUACUUACUUUUAUUUGUCAUUUAUUUUUCAUCUAAUAUCUAUAAUCACUUUGUUAUA